CUCGAGGGAAAGAAUCUGAAUGUUGCAUUUACCUGUCUCAUAGUGAUACAGCGUGGACUGUUUUAGCAAUAUCGUUUCUUUCUCUUCUUGUUAUAUUAGCUUUCCUCAUAAUAGCCUUUGUCAUGCCCAGACACUGGCCAAAUUGGCAGCGAACACAUUUUCACUGCAAAAUUGUGGAUGUGCGGAUGCUGGAAGGCCUUCCCCGCUUCACAUUCCACUCCACUCAUUUGAAUUGUAAUCACAGUGGGGAAACUUGUGCUAUUUGCCUUGAGGAUUACAAAGAUGGGGAAAUUCUUAAAGUUCUUCCUUGCCAACAUGAAUUUCAUUCAAGCUGUGUGGAUUCAUGGCUGACUAAGUGGGGGACAUUCUGCCC
rnacentral:misc_RNA from 1 species